rnacentral:lncRNA from 12 species
GAUUCCUUUGCCCUCUGAAUCGUUGCCUCCUGUCCACACGGUUAAUAUUAACCUCCUGCAGCCCCAGAGAUGUGUUUCCAUGCUGUCAUCCGAGAGAACCGGGUGGCAAACAGCCCCCAACCUCCAGAUUCCUCUUGAUGUGAAUGACACCCACCCUGUUACCCAAGGGACAGGUGAUACCACAAGAAUCGUACUUGUCCCGGUCUUCAACGAGAUCACAGCAUCUUUGGAGAAAGCAGAUUUGUAAGAACUAUCCACGAUCAGGCCUGCCAUCGGGAGGCUAAUGAGGAGGCUGGGGGAGACCUGGGAGCAGGGAUGAGCACCCAGGAGUGGCUCUGUAUCAACAACCAGAUAUCCCGAGUUUCUGAGGAUGCUCUGUGUCUUGCAUUAAUGAAAUGCUAAGUCUUGUGCUGAAAGUAAAAUAUCUAACAGAAGGGUUUGACAAUGUGUUCUAGAAUGGUAAAGGCAAGUUGACGGUGACGGCGGCAGGUCACAGACCUGCUCCGUGCGCUCCAUCAGCAGUUCCAGCUGAGUAAUUUGCAG